UACAGAGGGGGCAAGCGUUGUUCGGAAUCACUGGGCGUAAAGCGCACGUAGGCGGCUUGUUAAGUCAGGGGUGAAAUCCUGGAGCUCAACUCCAGAACUGCCUUUGAUACUGGCGAGCUUGAGUUCGGGAGAGGUGAGUGGAACUGCGAGUGUAGAGGUGAAAUUCGUAGAUAUUCGCAAGAACACCAGUGGCGAAGGCGGCUCACUGGCCCGAUACUGACGCUGAGGUGCGAAAGCGUGGGGAGCAAACAGG
rnacentral:rRNA from 1 species